rnacentral:sRNA from 1 species
UAUUCUGCCCAUGCGGGAAGGAUGAGAAGCUUCGACUAAGGUUCGAUUCGAGCGAAGCGAGAAAGCGUUGCCGCAGGCAACGACCCGAAGGGCGAAGCGCGCAGCGCUGAGUAAUCCUUCCCCCACCACCA